rnacentral:lncRNA from 1 species
AUGAGUCACGGAGAGAUGGUCUCAUCGUUCCAGAUUUCCCGCCUCACUCUGAGCAUUCUGUUUCUCAGCAGCCAGCCACACGUUUGGUCCCUCCAUGCAACUGCAGGCAAACUCAAUUCCAUAUCCCCUCACAGCAACUCUUUGGUCUCAGAGAGAGGAUUUUAUGAAUCUCUUACCAAGGAUUUUUCAGAUCAAGGUCAAGCUAUGGAUCUUUCAGAUUAUGCCUUCAAGACACCCAGCAUCCAAAGUGACUGUUCAGGAGACCCAGAGGUCACACCUAUGUAACUAUAUAACCUUUCAGGAUAAAACCAACAUUUUUUCAAAAGGAGGAUAGGGAAGUAAAGAUGUUCAAUGACCUAACAACCCAAUGUUCAACAUCCAAAAAAAUUACUAGACAUGCAGAAGAUCAGGAAAUAAGACCACAUAACCAGAAAAAGAAAAAUAAUCAAUAGAAAAAGGCCCAGCAAUGACAGAGAUGGUGUAAUUAGGAUGCAAAGACAUUGAAAUAACUAUUACAAAUAUGUUCAACAUGUUUAAGGAUCUUUAAAUAAUAGGAAUAUAGUCAGGAGAGAUAGUGAAGACAUAAAGAUCCAAAUGGAACUUCUAAAAAUGAAAAUCAAGAUAUCUGAAUUGGAAAAAUACACUGGAUGGGACUAACUGCAGCUUAGACAUGGGAAAAGAAAAGAUCAGUGAACUUGAAGAUGCAUCAAUACAAACAACACAAUCUGAAACAUAAAACAGAUAAAUAAGACCUCAGUGAUCUGGGAAUAGUAUCAAGUGGUGCACUACUUAACACAUUAAGUGGUUAAUUAGAGUCCAAGAAAAGUGUCUAUUGGCAGGAGAAGGAGACAAAAAGAUAUAUGAAGAAAUAAUGGCUGAAAAAUGCAAAAUUUAAUUAAAAAAAAAAGAACUAUGAACUCACAAAUCUAAGAACCUUAAGCAACCCCAGGUAGCAUAAACGCACACGCACACGCACACACACAUCAGAACACAUCAAAAUUGGGUUUCUGAAAGACAGUGAUAAAGAGAAAAAUCUUAAAAUCAGCCAGAGGAAAAAGGCGCAUGAUGUACAGGGGAAUAAAGAGAAGAAUGAGAGCUGUUGCUGCUGCUGC